GAUGAACGCUAGCGGCAGGCCUAAUACAUGCAAGUCGAGGGGUAGAGCUAGCUUGCUAGCUUGAGACCGGCGCACGGGUGCGUAACGCGUAUGCAACCUACCCUUUUCUGGGGGAUAGCCCGGAGAAAUCCGGAUUAAUACCGCAUAAGACCACGAUACGGCAUCGUGAUGUGGUCAAACAUUUAUGGGAGAAGGAUGGGCAUGCGUGCCAUUAGCUAGUUGGCGGGGUAACGGCCCACCAAGGCGACGAUGGCUAGGGGCUCUGAGAGGAUGGCCCCCAACACUGGUACGGAGACACGGACCAGACUCCUACGGGAGGCAGCAGUAAGGAAUAUUGGUCAAUGGGGGCAACCCUGAACCAGCCAUGCCGCGUGCAGGACGACGGCCCUCCGGGUUGUAAACUGCUUUUGUACGGGAAUAAACCCCGCUACGUGUAGUGGGCUGAAUGUACCGUAAGAAUAAGGAUCGGCUAACUCCGUGCCAGCAGCCGCCGUAAGAC
rnacentral:rRNA from 1 species